UCGGCGUUGUCUCGGGCUAUGAUUGUCCAAACGCAAUUCUUGUCUGUGCCUUGAGAUACCAAGAAUUGUGUGGGGACAUCAGCGCUCGGAGCGCGGAUCAAC